AAACAGGUAAGCUAAUUAAGCUAUUGGGUUCAUACCCCAUCAAUAAAGGUCCUAAUCCUUUCCUAUUUA
rnacentral:tRNA from 1 species